rnacentral:rRNA from 1 species
UACGGAGGAUGCAAGCGUUAUCCGGAAUGAUUGGGCGUAAAGCGUCCGCAGGUGGCAAUGUAAGUCUGCUGUCAAAGCGUCUGGCUCAACCAGAUAAAGGCAGUGGAAACUACAUAGCUUGAGUAAGGUAGGGGUAGAGGGAAUUCCUGGUGUAGCGGUGAAAUGCGUAGAGAUCAGGAAGAACACCGGUGGCGAAAGCGCUCUGCUGGACCUUAACUGACACUGAGGGACGAAAGCUAGGGGAGCGAAUGGG